GUGGGGAAUUUUGGACAAUGGGCGAAAGCCUGAUCCAGCCAUGCCGCGUGCAGGAUGAAGGCCUUCGGGUUGUAAACUGCUUUUGUACGGAACGAAAAGACUCUGGUUAAUACCUGGGGUCCAUGACGGUACCGUAAGAAUAAGCACCGGCUAACUACGUGCCAGCAGACGCGGUAAUACGUAGGGUGCAAGCGUUAAUCGGAAUUACUGGGCGUAAAGAGUGCGCAGGCGGGUAUAUAAGACAGAUGUGAAAUCCACGGGCUCAACCUGGGAACUGCAUUUGUGACUGUAUAGCUAGAGUACGGCAGAGGGGGAUGGAAUUCCGCGUGUAGCAUUGAAAUGCGUAGAUAUGCGGAGGAACACCGAUGGCGAAGGCAAUCCCCUGGGCCUGCACUGACGCUCAUGCACGAAAGCGUGGGGAGCAAACAGGAUUAGAAACCCGUGUAGUCC
rnacentral:rRNA from 1 species